ACGCAGUACUUACACCUCCACCCACCUACUCACCCACCCCAUUUAUGACGGCGAUCACCUUCCGGGCAGGUAUGUGAAGUCAGCCCCAUUUCCAGUAGACAAUCGACUAGAAUGUCUCAGGAGUGACUGAGUCAGAGAAUAAGAAAAUGAUAAAGUGAGAAAUUAAAACGGAUACAAGUUGUAAUGGAGCGCCCUGAAGGGAAGGAAAGGGAUCUGGAGCCCCAUUUAUUUCCUUCAUGAAUGUCCAGAGGAGAUCCUUGAAAUGAAGACUGCCACUGGGUGAGCCUAAUCAACUGGUUAAAAUAGCAAGAUAGAAUAAAAACAGAAACUCUUUGAGAGAUUGACAACUAAAA
rnacentral:lncRNA from 1 species